rnacentral:tRNA from 14 species
GAAGGACGAUCUGCCCGUGUACCGCGAGGACUUCAAACCCAAAGAGACCCG